GGCUGGUCUGAGUGCAGUGGUGUUUACAACUAAUUGAUCACAACCAGUUAUAGAUGUUUUUGUUUCAUCUUCACUCCCACUGUUUCACUUGACUAGCCUUUA
ensembl:misc_RNA Y_RNA Y RNA